GCCCCUGGAACCUCCCACCAGCCCAGCACAGCUCUCACAGCCUCAGCGCCCCAGGUCGGGCAGUCAGAAGCAGACCAUGCCACAGAUGAACAUGGGAACAGUUAGCUGUGAAGCCUUGGGCUGUCGUCCGCCUCCAACCCCUGGGGCUCUGACCACACCCAGCCCCAGCUCAGAUCAUCUUGCUCAAAGGGCCGAAGGAGGACCCAUCUCCACACCUUCCACAUGUAGAUAUCCUCAACGUUCUUCACAGAGGGGAUGCCCGCACCCCGCCCCACCGAGUUCGCGGCUGCUGUGCCCAUCUUCCUAGAGAGGAGUUCUCCGCCACACCCGACACCACACACUUCCAACUUCUGCGGUGCUUCCCUCUCACUUAUCUCCACCCCCAAUCCUUAUCCCCGCUCGUUUAAUCACACAUUUAUU
rnacentral:lncRNA from 1 species